rnacentral:rRNA from 1 species
GACGGGGCCCGCACAAGCGGUGGAGCAUGUGGCUUAAUUCGAAGCAACGCGAAGAACCUUACCAGGUCUUGACAUCCCGAUGCUAUUUCUAGAGAUAGAAAGUUACUUCGGUACAUCGGUGACAGGUGGUGCAUGGUUGUCGUCAGCUCGUGUCGUGAGAUGUUGGGUUAAGUCCCGCAACGAGCGCAACCCCUAUUGUUAGUUGCCAUCAUUCAGUUGGGCACUCUAGCGAGACUGCCGGUAAUAAACCGGAGGAAGGUGGGGAUGACGUCAAAUCAUCAUGCCCCUUAUGACCUGGGCUACACACGUGCUACAAUGGUUGGUACAACGAGUUGCGAGUCGGUGACGGCGAGCUAAUCUCUUAAAGCCAAUCUCAGUUCGGAUUGUAGGCUGCAACUCGCCUACAUGAAGUCGGAAUCGCUAGUAAUCGCGGAUCAGCACGCCGCGGUGAAUACGUUCCCGGGCCUU